rfam:Cystobacter fuscus 5S ribosomal RNA
UUAGGUGCCUAUAUCGGUGGUGUCCACCUCUUCCCAUUCCGAACAGAGAAGUUAAGCCCACCAGAGCCGAUGGUACUGCGGUAASACGUGGGAGAGUAGGUCGGUGCCAAAU